GCGCGGGAUUUCGCCUCUCCCCGAUCCCUGUAAUGUGCCCAGGCAGGAAAGAAGGAGAGGGAGGCCCUGGACCUCCUGAACACCGCCAGGAAGUUCCGGCGUGCCAGCCACACCUCACAGUACCGCCGGGACUGCACCUGAACACCAUCCCGAAAAGAUUUCCAGGACCCAGAAGGCAGGAUCCAGACUUACCCGGCGGCUACUAGAGGAGGCUUAUGCCGAACCAGAUGUAUUUAUUCUAUUUCCUGAACGUGAUUAUGGGGGCAGCCAUCUUGCCUGAGCUGUUCAUAACAGCAUUUGGAAAGCAUUAAGAAAAUUACUUUACGGCAGCCCCGUGGGCCAUAUACACAAUGGACAGGACGGGACCUCAUUGACUUCUAUGGGAGAGUUUUCAAGGCGUGCUCUGUGACCUGUGCAGAGAUCAUUAUACAAGGAAAUAAUAGAUAAGCUCUGACAACUGUAACACCCCAGAGUUGUGUUAAGACACUCUUCUACCCCGCUACAAUCUGUUAAGAGCCUUGUCAUCUGUUAUGGUUUUACAUAAUGUCUUCACAACUGUGCAUUAUAAACCAUGUUAAAUGUA